rnacentral:rRNA from 1 species
UACGGAGGGUGCAAGCGUUAAUCGGAAUUACUGGGCGUAAAGCGCGCGUAGGCGGUUUGUUAAGCUAGCUGUGAAAUCCCAGGGCUCAACCUUGGAAUUGCAGUUAGAACUGGCAGGCUAGAGUACAGCAGAGGAUAGUGGAAUUUCUAGUGUAGCGGUGAAAUGCGUAGAUAUUAGAAGGAACACCAGUGGCGAAGGCG